UUAUGCAAGCAAACGACACUCAGCUCGGCACCAGCGCAGCCCGGAUGGCCUCCGGCAUGACCUCGCGCGCGCGCCGACCGGAACCCCACAUUCUCGCUGGGUAAACCGGAGCGUCGUGCUGUCCG
rnacentral:sRNA from 1 species